rnacentral:rRNA from 1 species
AGAGUUUGAUCCUGGCUCAGGACGAACGCUGGCGGCGUGCUUAACACAUGCAAGUCGAACGGAAAGGCCCUGCUUUUGUGGGGUGCUCGAGUGGCGAACGGGUGAGUAACACGUGAGUAACCUGCCCUUGACUUUGGGAUAACUUCAGGAAACUGGGGCUAAUACCGGAUAGGAGCUCCUGCUGCAUAGUGGGGGUUGGAAAGUUUCGGCGGUUGGGGAUGGACUCGCGGCCUAUCAGCUUGUUGGUGGGGUAGUGGCUUACCAAGGCUUUGACGGGUAGCCGGCCUGAGAGGGUGACCGGCCACAUUGGGACUGAGAUACGGCCCAGACUCCUACGGGAGGCAGCAGUGGGGAAUAUUGCACAAUGGGCGGAAGCCUGAUGCAGCAACGCCGCGUGCGGGAUGACGGCCUUCGGGUUGUAAACCGCUUUCGCCUGUGACGAAGCGUGAGUGACGGUAAUGGGUAAAGAAGCACCGGCUAACUACGUGCCAGCAGCCGCGGUGAUACGUAGGGUGCGAGCGUUGUCCGGAUUUAUUGGGCGUAAAGGGCUCGUAGGUGUUGAUCGCGUCGGAAGUGUAAUCUUGGGGCUUAACCCUGAGCGUGCUUUCGAUACGGGUUGACUUGAGGAAGGUAGGGGAGAAUGGAAUUCCUGGUGGAGCGGUGGAAUGCGCCCGUGCCGUAGUUAACGAUUUAAGUACCCCGCCUGGGGAGUACGGCCGCAAGGCUAAAACUCAAAGGAAUUGACGGGGCCCCGCACAAGCGGCGGAGCAUGCGGAUUAAUUCGAUGCAACGCGUAGAACCUUACCUGGGUUUGACAUGGAUCGGGAGUGCUCAGAGAUGGGUGUGCCUCUUUUGGGGUCGGUUCACAGGUGGUGCAUGGCUGUCGUCAGCUCGUGUCGUGAGAUGUUGGGUUAAGUCCCGCAACGAGCGCAACCCUUGUUCACUGUUGCCAGCACGUUAUGGUGGGGACUCAGUGGAGACCGCCGGGGUCAACUCGGAGGAAGGUGGGGAUGACGUCAAGUCAUCAUGCCCCUUAUGUCCAGGGCUUCACGCAUGCUACAAUGGCUGGUACAGAGAGUGGCGAGCCUGUGAGGGUGAGCGAAUCUCGGAAAGCCGGUCUCAGUUCGGAUUGGGGUCUGCAACUCGACCUCAUGAAGUCGGAGUCGCUAGUAAUCGCAGAUCAGCAACGCUGCGGUGAAUACGUUCCCGGGGCUUGUACACACCGCCCGUCAAGUCAUGAAAGUUGGUAACACCCGAAGCCGGUGGCCUAACCGUUGUGGGGGAGCCGUCGAAGGUGGGACUGGUGAUUAGGACUAAGUCGUAACAAGGUAAC